AGAUCAGAGAGAGAGAAAGAGAGAGAGAGGAGCUGAAGUGUCUGCCACAUCCUUCCCCAAAACUCAUCAAUCACAGGGUGGAAUCCCCACCCCUCCAGCCAGGUGGAGGAGCUUCCACUUUUGGGAAAGUGAAUUAGGCUUCCUGCUAACGGGUACCUCCAAGAGUCCCAUUCCUGCUGGCAGACAGAAGGCAUCCAGGGCCUGAUUCAGCACAUUUGUGAGAGACAGAGACAGAGUGCGAACAGGGGAGGGCAGAGAGAGAGGAAGA